AUUACUGCUCAGUAACACGUAGUCAAUCUACCCUGUGGACGGGGAUAACCUCGGGAAACUGAGAAUAAUACCCGAUAGAUCAUUAUGCCUGGAACGGUUUAUGGUUCAAAUGAUUUUUCGCCAUAGGAUGGGACUGCGGCCUAUCAGUUUGUUGGUGAGGUAACGGCCCACCAAGACUAUUACAGGUACGGGCUCUGAGAGGAGAAGCCCGGAGAUGGGUACUGAGACACGGACCCAGGCCCUAUGGGGCGCAGCAGGCGAGAAAACUUUGCAAUGUGCGAAAGCACGACAAGGUUAAUCCGAGUGUUUUCUGCUAAAGAAAUCUUUUAUCAGUUCUAAAAAUACUGACGAAUAAGGGGUGGGCAAGUUCUGGUGUCAGCCGCCGCGGUAAAACCAGCACCUCAAGUGGUCAGGAUGAUUAUUGGGCCUAAAGCAUCCGUAGCCGGCUUUGUAAGUUUUCGGUUAAAUCUAUAUGCUCAACAUAUAGGCUGCCGGAAAAACUGCAUCGCUAGGGAGUGGGAGAGGUAGACGGUACUCGAUAGGAAGGGGUAAAAUCCUUUGAUCUAUUGAUGACCACCUGUGGCGAAGGCGGUCUACCAGAACACGUCCGACGGUGAGGGAUGAAAGCUGGGGGAGCAAACCGGAUUAGAUACCCGGGUAGUCCCAGCUGUAAACUAUGCAAACUCAGUGAUGCAUUGGCUUGUGGCCAGUGCAGUGCUGCAGGGAAGCCGUUAAGUUUGCCGCCUGGGAAGUACGUACGCAAGUAUGAAACUUAAAGGAAUUGGCGGGGGAGCACCACAAGGGGUGAAACGUACGCAAGUAUGAAACUUAAAGGCUUAAAGG
rnacentral:rRNA from 1 species